rnacentral:rRNA from 1 species
CAAGCGGUGGAGCAUGUGUUUAAUUCGAAGCAACGCGAAGAACCUUACCAGGUCUUGACAUCCCGAUGCUAUUUCUAGAGAUAGAAAGUUACUUCGGUACAUCGGUGACAGGUGGUGCAUGGUUGUCGUCAGCUCGUGUCGUGAGAUGUUGGGUUAAGUCCCGCAACGAGCGCAACCCCUAUUGUUAGUUGCCAUCAUUCAGUUGGGCACUCUAGCGAGACUGCCGGUAAUAAACCGGAGGAAGGUGGGGAUGACGUCAAAUCAUCAUGCCCCUUAUGACCUGGGCUACACACGUGCUACAAUGGUUGGUACAACGAGUUGCGAGUCGGUGACGGCGAGCUAAUCUCUUAAAGCCAAUCUCAGUUCGGAUUGUAGGCUGCAACUCGCCUACAUGAAGUCGGAAUCGCUAGUAAUCGCGGAUCAGCACGCCGCGGUGAAUACGUUCCCGGGCCUU